rnacentral:rRNA from 1 species
AGUCGAACGAUGAACCACCUUCGGGUGGGGAUUAGUGGCGAACGGGUGAGUAACACGUGGGCAAUCUGCCCUGCACUCUGGGACAAGCCCUGGAAACGGGGUCUAAUACCGGAUACUGACCUGCCAAGGCAUCUUGGCGGGUCGAAAGCUCCGGCGGUGCAGGAUGAGCCCGCGCGACCUAUUACAGCUUUGUUUGGUGAGGUAAUGUGCUCACCAAGGCGACGACGGGUAGCCGGCCUGAGAGGGCGACCGGCCACAYUGGGACUGAGACACKGCCCAGACUCCUACGGGAGGCAGCAGUGGGGMAUAUUGCACAAUGGGCGAAAGCCUGAUGCAGCGACGCCGCGUGAGGGAUGACGGCCUUCGGGUUGUAAACCUCUUUCAGCAGGGMAGAAGCGAAAGUGACGGUACCUGCAGAAGAAGCGCYGGCUAACUACGUGCCAGCAGCCGCGGUAAUACGUAGGGCGCAAGCGUUGUCCAGGAAUUAUUGGGCGUAAAGAGCUCGUAGGCGGCUUGUCGCGUCGGUUGUGAAAGCCCGGGGCUUAACCCCGGGUCUGCAGUCGAUACGGGCAGGCUAGAGUUCGGUAGGGGAGAUCGGAAUUCCUGGUGUAGCGGUGAAAUGCGCAGAUAUCAGGAGGAACACCGGUGGCGAAGGCGGAUCUCUGGGCCGAUACUGACGCUGAGGAGCGAAAGCGUGGGGAGCGAACAGGAUUAGAUACCCUGGUAGUCCACGCCGUAAACGGUGGGCACUAGGUGUGGGCAACAUUCCACGUUGUCCGUGCCGCAGCUAACGCAUUAAGUGCCCCGCCUGGGGAGUACGGCCGCAAGGCUAAAACUCAAAGGAAUUGACGGGGGCCCGCACAAGCGGCGGAGCAUGUGGCUUAAUUCGACGCAACGCGAAGAACCUUACCAAGGCUUGACAUACACCGGAAAGCAUCAGAGAUGGUGCCCCCCUUGUGGUCGGUGUACAGGUGGUGGCAUGGCUGUCGUCAGCUCGUGUCGUGAGAAUGUUKGGUUUAAGUCCCGCAACGAGCGCAACCCUUUGUCCCGUGUUGCCAGCAACUCUUCGGAGGUUGGGGGACUCACGGGAGAGCCGCCGGGGUCAACUUCGGAGGAAGGUGGGGAACGACGUCAAGUCAUCAUGCCCCUUAUGUCYUGGGCUGCACACGUGCUUACAAUGGCCGGUACAAUGAGCUGCGAUACCGCAAGGUGGGAGCGAAUCUCAAAAAGCCGGUCCUCAGUUCGGAGUUGGGGUCUGCAACUCGACCCCAUGAAGUCGGAGUCGCUAGUAAUCGCAGAUCAGCAUUGCUGCGGUGAAUACGUUCCCGGGCCUUGUACACACCGCCCGUCACGUCACGAAAGUCGGUAACACCCGAAGCCGGUGGCCCAACCCCUUGUGGGAGGGAGCUGUCGAAGGUGG